rnacentral:lncRNA from 1 species
AAUAAGUUUGUGUGUGUUUUUUAAAACUGACUCAAAUCUUACAAAAAUGUGUUCUUUUAAGCCACUGAAUUUGUGGUAAAUUGUUACAGCAGGAAUAGAAAACUGAUACAACCCUAGAGAAAGUCUUGUACAUGUGCUCUAUAAACACACAGCAGAAUUUUUUUUAACUUUUUAUUGAGUUAAAAAAUAUAUAUAUAAUUUACCAUCUGUACAUUUUUAGAGGACAGUUUAGUGGUGAUAAAUACAUUUAUAUUUUCUUCUCUUAAUCUCCUCUUCCCACUCC